CAGAAGAGGCGCCGUCAGGUGGAGCAGAUCGACUCCCAGAACCACAGAAAUAUUGCGAUAUAGAAGCAGACGGCGGGAGACAGAGAUGGAGACGAAUUAAAGGACUCUUUUUUCAGUUUGCCGCUGCCGCCAGACACAGAUAAGCAGGAGCCCGGGUAGAAGACAGAGAAGGUUGAAGAGGAGGAAGUGUGGGAAAGUGGAUAGAUGAAGAGGGGAAGAGGAGGCUGAUCGAAAAGCGCUGAAGGAUCAGAGGCUGACCAGAUCUGCGAAGGAGGUUAUAUUUUGCAGGAUUACUUAAAAACUAUAACCAAAAUACUUGGUGGAAGGAUGCUUUGUGGAUCAGGAAAGAACCCAUUAGAUUUUGGUGAAAACAUGGCGAGAAAAAGCGUUUUUAUCAACGUUUUCAUUGAAUUUAUGGAUCUUGAUGAGAAAAUUCCGGCAUGUUUAAGAGUUUGAUAUUUAUGCCCAUGUACAAAUCCAAAUAAAAAUCAG